rnacentral:rRNA from 1 species
UACGGGGGGAGCAAGCGUUGUUCGGAUUUACUGGGCGUAAAGGGCGCGUAGGCGGCCACCGCAAGUCGGUUGUGAAAUCUCUGGGCUUAACCCAGAAAGGUCAACCGAUACUGCGGGGCUAGAGUGCAGAAGGGGCAACUGGAAUUCUCGGUGUAGCGGUGAAAUGCGUAGAUAUCGGGAAGAACACCGGUGGCGAAGGCGGCUCGCUGGGCUGUUGCUGACGCUGAGGCGCGAAAGCGUGGGGAGCAAACAGG